AGUGAACGCUGGCGGUAGGCCUAACACAUGCCAGUCGAACGGCAGCACAGUAAGAGCUUGCUCUUACGGGUGGCGAGUGGCGGACGGGUGAGGAAUACAUCGGAAUCUACUUUUUCGUGGGGGAUAACGUAGGGAAACUUACGCUAAUACCGCAUACGACCUACGGGUGAAAGCAGGGGAUCUUCGGACCUUGCGCGAUUGAAUGAGCCGAUGUCGGAUUAGCUAGUUGGCGGGGUAAAGGCCCACCAAGGCGACGAUCCGUAGCUGGUCUGAGAGGAUGAUCAGCCACACUGGAACUGAGACACGGUCCAGACUCCUACGGGAGGCAGCAGUGGGGAAUAUUGGACAAUGGGCGCAAGCCUGAUCCAGCCAUACCGCGUGGGUGAAGAAGGCCUUCGGGUUGUAAAGCCCUUUUGUUGGUAAAGAAAAGCAGCAGGUUAAUACCCCGCUGUUCUGACGGUACCCAAAGAAUAAGCACCGGCUAACUUCGUG
rnacentral:rRNA from 1 species